AUCUUGUACACGCAUGUCUUUCUUAUCAGUGUACUUCAUUGAGUAAACACUAGUUGGCUUAAUUAUCUUACUUUUUGCCAGGAAGUGGAUGUGAGACACUUUUGACACCGAGUUUGAGGAAACGUACAGAAGGAAGAGAAGUCACUGGAAUCUGAAAAACAGGAUGGAAAGAAUAAAAGCUGUGCUAAGGUUGGAGUGCAAUGGCAUGAUCUCGGCUCACUGCAACCUCCGCCUCCCGAGUUCAAGGGAUCUCCUGCCUCAGCCUCCUGAGUGGCUGGGAUUACAAGCACCCGCCACCACGCCCAGCUAAUUUUUGUAUUUUUAGUAGAGACGGGGUUUUGCCAUGUUGGCCAGGCUGGUCUGGAACACCUGACCUCGUGAUCCACCCACCUCGGCCUCCCAAAGUGCUGGGAUUACAGGCGUGAGCCACCGUGCCCGGCCAAGGUAUACUUAUAAGAUACAAAUAGACAAUAAAAAGGUUAUUAUAGUGAAACGAAUUAAGAUAUCCAUCAUCUCACAUAAUUACCCACUUUUUUUUUGUUUUUGUGGCAAGAGCAGCUAAAAUCUACUAAUUUAACAUGAACCCCAAAUACAGUAAAAUGUUAUUCCCUAUAGUCCUCAUGUUGUACCUUAGAUCUCUGGACUUGCUCAUUCUGCUUUCAGUCCUUUAAUUACUAAAUUGUGAUCCUUGAAGUCUGAUUAUUUUACUUUAUAAAAAUUAUUUCAUAAAAUAAUCCUCGACUCAAUUCCUCAGCCACGGGAAAAAAUAAAGUAAUUCAUAGGUUUGGGGAUCGUUUUACUUUUUUGAGGCUAAUUUAUGUUAAUAGUAGGAAAUGCAGGGUUCCAGGAGCCUCAAACUCUAAUCUUAAAUAAGUCCCUAGUUCAGAUUGCCAUCUCAGGCUGGUGAGCCGUCCUCCCUACCCUUCAAUAAUCAAUCUGACAAUUUUAAGGACAAGGAUGCAGCAUCAUGGGAGGCCAAGAAAAUACUCAAAACAUUCCUAGAGACUUGAAAAUGAAACUGAUUAGAGUCAUACUAUAAAGAAAUUGAAAGGGGGUAAGAAACAAAUGGGUAAAUGAAAAGUGUUAUUUGCUGCUAAUAAGAAUUGACACGACUCUUCUCAGCUCUUCACUACCUCACAUUUUAGAAUCAUUACCAAAAAGUUCUUUCCCUCAAUAACCUUAUUGCUAUCAACUUUGAAAAAAAUCAGGAAACUAUGAGGAUAUAAAAUAUAUCAGAUAACACACUUGCUAUUUAUUUAUUUAUUAUUUUUGAGGCAGAGUCUCCUCCUGUCACCGAGGCUGGAGUGCAGUGGUAAGAUCUCUGAUCAUUGCAUCCUCCACCUCCCGGGUGGAAGCGAUUCUGCUGCCU
rnacentral:lncRNA from 10 species